rnacentral:rRNA from 1 species
UGGGGAAUAUUGGACAAUGGGGGGCAACCCUGAUCCAGCAAUGCCGCGUGUGUGAAGAAGGUCUUCGGAUUGUAAAGCACUUUCGACGGGGACGAUGAUGACGGUACCCGUAGAAGAAGCCCCGGCUAACUUCGUGCCAGCAGCCGCGGUAAUACGAAGGGGGCUAGCGUUGCUCGGAAUGACUGGGCGUAAAGGGCGUGUAGGCGGUUUACACAGUCAGAUGUGAAAUCCCCGGGCUUAACCUGGGAGCUGCAUUUGAUACGUGUAGACUAGAGUGUGAGAGAGGGUUGUGGAAUUCCCAGUGUAGAGGUGAAAUUCGUAGAUAUUGGGAAGAACACCGGUGGCGAAGGCGGCAACCUGGCUCAUGACUGACGCUGAGGCGCGAAAAGCGUGGGGAGCAAACAGGAUUAG